rnacentral:rRNA from 1 species
UCCUGAUCUAGCCAUGCCGCGUGAGUGAUGAAGGCCCUAGGGUCGUAAGGCUCUUUCAACUGUGAAGGUAAUGACGGUAGCAGUAGAAGAAACCCCGGCUAACUCCGUGCCAGCAGCCGCGGUAAUACGGAGGGGGUUAGCGUUGUUCGGAAUUACUGGGCGUAAAGCGUACGUAGGCGGAUUAAUAAGUUAGAGGUGAAAUCCCAGGGCUCAACCCUGGAACUGCCUUUAAAACUGUUAGUCUUGAGAUCGAGAGAGGUGAGUGGAAUUCCAAGUGUAGAGGUGAAAUUCGUAGAUAUUUGGAGGAACACCAGUGGCGAAGGCGGCUCACUGGCUCGAUACUGACGCUGAGGUACGAAAGUGUGGGGAGCAAACAGGAUUAGAUACCCUGGUAGUCCACACCGUAAACGAUGAAUGCCAGACGUCAGCAAGCAUGCUUGUUGGUGUCACACCUAACGGAUUAAGCAUUCCGCCUGGGGAGUACGGUCGCAAGAUUA